AGUGAACGCUGGCGGUAGGCCUAACACAUGCAAGUCGAACGGCAGCACAGUAAGAGCUUGCUCUUACGGGUGUCGAGUGUCGGACGGUUGAGUAAUACAUCGGAAUCUACUUUUUCGUGGGGGCUAACGUAGGGAAACUUACGCUAAUACCGCAUACGACCUACUGGUGAAAGCAGGGGAUCUUCGGACCUUUCGCGAUUGAAUGAGCCUAGUUCGGCUUCGAUAGUUGGCUGGGUAAGGGCCCACCAAGGCGACGAUCCGUAUCUGGUCUGAGAGGAUGAUCAGACACACUGGCAGUGAGAAAGGGCCGCGACUCCUAAGGGAGGAAGCAGUGGGGAAUAUUGGACAAGGGGCGAAAGCCUGAUCCAGCAAUACCGCGUGAGUGAAGAAGGCCUUAGGGUUGUAAAGCCAUUUUGUUGGGAAAGAAAAGAAGCAGGUUAAUACCCCGCUGUUAUGACGGUACCCAAAGAAUAAGCACCGGCUAACUUCGUG
rnacentral:rRNA from 1 species